rnacentral:lncRNA from 1 species
AUGAACGACACAGCUAGUAAAGUCUAAAACAUCCGGUAAUCCUAAGUGGGUUGUUUCAAAAAUACCGUGUUACCUUAAGGCCAUGAAUUAUAAGGUAGACAUAGAGAUACUCGUAACCAUACUGAUUGACACUAGGGUACUUGACGCCCUGCAAGCGUCGGAAUAAAUGUGACAUUUGUCACCCCUUGGCUUGGUAGGCCGGGGAUUGUAGCUAGCAGUCAGGGUGCGGAAGUGUCAGUCCCGUAUAGAUCUAUACACACAAUGCCCGCUCUCCCUCCAGGAGACUCUGGUUACCAACUUGACGACGGGGAGAUCCGUGUCUUGAAGAUGCAUCUCGUAUUUUGAAUUCUGUUGUAAGUACUGGAAUAACAAUAUAUAAUCGCGAAUGAACUGACCCCUUUGGAAUUCUCUGGACUAGAAAGAGUGAUUAGAAUCUCCUAACUAUUCCUAUAAUAGUUACUAGUGUCUCUGAUCUAUGAAUGAUGAAUGGAAGGAUGCCCUUGCUACCCAAGGGAAAUAAACUGGUCGAUGGAAACCUUUAUGUCCAUAUAUGUAUACAUGAUAUAUAACUAAUGUUUAAACGACCUUCAGACAGAUAACCGAUACCCACCAGACCACAUCCCAACGAGGAAAAGGAAAUAGGGCGAACUAGCCUUCCUAAGUCCUUUAAACAUUAUUUAUAUAACUAUACAAAAAUCGGCAUGCAUUUAACGAAGUAAAUGCAUAGAAGGAAAAAUUUGACGAAACCUUUGGAAAACUUUCAUACAUAAGAAAUUUACGACUUGGUGUCAUUUUGUAAAACAAGUUUUGAAAAUCUUUGGAAUCCUUUGAAAAAACCAUUCAUAAAUAGCUUUGAAAGUGAUUUUUAAUAAACAGUUUAAGUGAAGAAAACCUUUGGAAAACCUUUAACAAGAAAUUACGACUUGAUGUCUCUUUAGUAACCAAGCUUGAAAAACCUUUGGAAAACCUUUCGAAUACUUAUGAUAAUCUAGACGAGAAAUUUAUACUUUAGCAAGAGUUGAAAGCGAGAUUGGAACAUCUUAAGCUGGAUAAAACAGUUAACAUGCAAAAAUCUAUUUUGCUAUACAGUUAUUAAUCACAUGUGAUUUAUCUAAUAACUGUACAGUUCAACUUGCAUUCCUCCCUAUAAAAGCAGUCAAAAUCAUUUAAAAGGUUAAUUAAGGGGUAUGAACUCACCUGCUGCGGGUGGAUCGGACGGAGGUGUCGGUUGAGUGCUCGGUGUCAAGUAAAGACUUGAACACAACUUAAUGACCUAGUAACAUAUGAAGACAUAUGUUUACAUAUAAUUAGUGACUAUAACACUAAUUAAACACGUAUAAGCAUCCUAAUGUGCGGAAAAACACUUUGGUCAAGUGCUAGGAGGCUAUUGGGUUACAAUAAGGAAGUGUAUGGCCUAGUUAGGGAGUUUACUCUUCAAGAGUAAACUCUUUAUGGAGAUUUCGGCCCUAAGACCAUAUCCCCAUGAGUUUACGGCCGUAAACUCAUGGGUGGUGUGUUUUUGGAUGCUACAAGGUCUUACAACACUUGUGGAAUUAGGCUAGGUUCAAUUCUAGGGUAUAGGAAGGGGUUAAGGCUCCAAAUGAACCAUUUAAGGGAGUUCACGGCUGUAAGCAUAGAGUUUACGGCCGUAAACUCUCACUUGGUACUUCAAUUCAUGAUUUAAGGUCUUAAAUGAAAGAAUAUAAGGUUCUAUGCAUUAUUCUAAGUCAAAGGGGGAAGUUAGGGCAUCAUUUGGCCUCCUUCAGGGAGUUUACGACACAUGGACCAAUCCUUGGGGGGUUUACAGCCGUAAACUCCUAAGUCCAUAGUUUCCUUGAUGUUUAAGGGUCCUACUUCGAUGGUGGUUGAUUCUAGACAUUUACUCAAGCCUUAGGAGGUGUUUAAGGGAAAAUUUAACACCUUAAAUGGUGUUCACGGCCCAAGAAGAGGGGUUUACGGUCCAAGAGUGUUCUUGGGCCGUAAACUCAUGUUUACUCUUCAAAAGACAAGGUUUUGGUGUUCUAAGCUCAUAGAUGCAAGUCCACAAGUCAUAUCUAUGCCCUAGGAGUGAUUUAGAAGGGUUUUGGGGCUUCAAAACCCCACUUAUGGGUGUUUGCGGUCCAAGAGUGUUCUUGGGCCGUAAACACAAGAUUUUGCCACUUUUGGAUGUCUUAAACACGAAUUUGCAUGUUAAAUGGGCUAAACAACAAGUUAGGAUAGAUCACUUACUAGUUUGGAGCUUGAAAGAGGCGUUUUUAGAUCAAAAUCGGCUUUGUAGAGAGAGGGUGCUAAGAGUGGGAAAGGCUUCAAAGUGACAAAUCAAUCCCUUAUAUAAGGGUUGUGUUUGUGGCCCGGUGGAAAUCUACCUGAUACUGACGUUAAACGGGGCUUAUGGUCAUACCCGAUUUAAAUGGUCGUAAUUUGACUUGAUUGUAACUAAAACUUUUCAAGGGAAUAUUAAGGGUGUUUCACGUGUUUCUAAUUUGUUCCGACUCUUAUGCAGGCAUAAUAAAGUCCCAAUUUAAUUAACCUAAUCCAAAAGGUUAACGAACAAUUUAAUAAAGUGAGUUUUAUUAACGGAAGAAGAUGUUAAAAUGACGGGAUAAAUUUUAGGUUGUCACAUCAAGAUCAAAACUUUAGAUUGCAUUCUUAUUGAGCUUGGAUUUUUUCCCUUAUUCUUCAUGUUAAGGAAGUUGGAAUGGAUGGAUUCCAUAAAGUUGGAAAAUUUAUGGAUCCUUUAGGUCAUUUUGGUGACAUGUGCUCCAAAUCUUGGAUUCCUUGGAGUAUUUAGACUCAUGCACAAGUUUGAGCUCUUUCCUUGCAUGGUUUCGACCUGUUUUGGAUGAGACAUACAUGUCUAUAAAGCACUGAUUUUUAUGAUGCAUUUGGAGUAUAAUAGUAUUUUAAAAGUUUGGUUGUGUGACUUUGGUGAUUAAUAGCUUAAUGGAUGGCUCAUGACAUGAGAGGUUACUAAGGACUUAGGUUUAGGGAUCUUGCCUUAUUAGGGUGUCUUAAUGGAUAAAGUUGGAAUGUAACAACGUAAAUUUUCAAAACAAAUUUUCAUUUUCAAAACAUUCAUUUACUCACAAAAUAACACCAAACAUAUUGUAUCAAAUGUAUUUUUCACAAAAACAUCUCCCCAGAAUCCAAAACAUAAACUCCUCAAGUGUGUACGGAUCAUGCCGGCGCCUUCCCGCGCUCAUCACUGGUACCUGAAACACAUCACACAACAACUGUAAGCAUAAAUGCUUAGUGAGUUCCCCAAAAUACCGCAUACAACACAUACGCCACUCAAGGCUAUAAUACGACCCUCCGGUCGAUGUGUCUCAGCGGGACCCUCCAGUCCCGUAGCUCGUUGGACCCUCUGGUCCGGUCAUAGCUCGUUGGGCCCUCCGGCCCGGUCUGUAUCGUUGGACCUUUCGGUCUGGUCUAUAACAACAUACAACAUACACAUAACACAUAUCACAUAAUCUCAUACAUAACACAUAAGACCCUCUGGUCUACACAAUAUACCACUCUAGGUAAUGUAUAGUGAGAAGACUCACCUUGAUGUCUCGGUAAAUAUCUGACUCGGAAUAAAUGUGAUCUAGCCUCCACCUAAUCACACAAAGUAAUACACUCAUAAAUACAACUGUACUCAACCCUAAAAGUCAACAAGGUCAACGAUCAACUUUGAACGGACUCGGCGAGUGCACUAGGGCGACUUGGCGAGUCUACUCGUGUCCACUGACUCUCUUAGAUCCUCUCUUGACACGCCGAGUACCUCCCUGACUCGACGAGUUCCACCUAGCAUGAAUCGCGGGGCCACCACGACUAAACUCGCCAAGUCUCAAGAACAACUCGGCGAGUUCCGGCUUGAACCCAGUCCCCCUGACUCACCCCGACUCACUGAGACGUUCCCUCAACUCGACAAGUCCACUCACUGAGUGAUUACGGGCAAACUUCAUACUACUCGCCAAGUCUGUUCUUUAGACUCGGCGAGUUCAUGCCAUGCAUAAACUCAAAACCACUUCUGAGGUCAGAUCUGUUCCAUCCAAUCAUAGAUCUGCCCCCCCUCCCCCCAAGCAUGAUAAUCAUGUAAAGUCCAAACCUUGAUGCUCAAACAACCUCUAUUUGCUCCUAUAUGAUGUUUUAGCCCCAUUUUUCAUAAUCCAUGGUCAAAACUCCCAUGAAUCCUCAAAAAGCUUGAGGAAUAAAGUUUCUCUGGACCUCUAUGGAUCCCAUCCCAAGCCUCAUCACAAUUAGGGACGAAAUGGACAUCAAAUCUAACCAACAAAGAGGUCAAGAAACCUUAAACCUCCAUGUUUAUCAUAACAACAGAAAGGGAGCCAAAAUAUUACCUCCAAAUUGAUGCUCUGAGCUCCAAAUUCGAAGAAUGUCCACCUCCCUUGCUUCCUCUUAGCUAGAACCUCCUUUGGCUUGCCAAACAAUGCUUCAAAGGUUAACAAUGGCCUCCUCUCUCUCCCAAAACGCUCAAGAUCACUUUAGGGUUUCUCUCUGGGGUUGGUGGCCGCAAAUGAAGGCCAUAAGCCCCUUUAAAUAGGUCUCAAACCCUGGAAAUUAGGGUUUCAUUAAACAGCGUGGACUCGUCGAGUCCAGACGCGAACCCACAUGCAAAAACCGCGAUCCUACUCGGCGAGUUUAGACUCCAACUCGCCGAGUCUCCUCACAACACCCAAAAAUAAAAGAAUAAAAAUAAUACCUGGGAAUCCGGAUGUUACAUGGAAACUUUAUACAUCCUAGAACUUAGGAAGAAUCAGAUAUAGGCUGUGGAGUCCUUAGUUUAGAUAGAAAAUAUCUUAAUGCAUUAAUUUGCUAAGUUAUGGUCAACGUGACAUCUUGGCAUCUACAACGUGGAGACUAAAGAAAACCCAAAUGUUUUGUAUGUUGUGUGCCACAACGUGGCCAAUAGCAGGUCACGACAUGGUAACUCCUUAAAGUUGGAAUUUGGAUCAUUUGCCUUUGACCAUUGACCCAUUGACUUUUUGACUUGGUAGACUUUUGGUAAAUUUGCCAGUUUGGGUUGGUGGACUAAAGGUUUACCUUGUGUGGUUUAUUAGGUGGUGUUUAACACAUGUUUUGCCUUCAAGAUCCUGAUAGCUUGUAUGACGCGUCUGAGUUAAGUGUUUUCACUAUAUUGUAAGAUGCAAGACUGUCUUUGUGACUCUUGCAUGUAUGAAUGGGUUGGGCCCGAUUAUGUAGGUUGGGCUUGAGUCUGUGGGUGGGGCCCUAUUGCAAGGGUUUGGCUCAGAUGAAUCGAUUAUAGGCUCGAAUGCAUGUAUGAUAGGUUGGGUCCGUUACUUGUAUGAUAAGUGGUAUUUUUGGGGAACUCACUAAGCUUUGUGCUUACGGUUUUGCGUUUACAUGCUUCAGGUACUUCCUUUCGAAAGGGAAGAGCUCGACUUGAUUGCACUGCAUCCACUUGGAGUUUUAUUCCACACUUUCUAUGUUGAUUCCACUCCAAUGUUGAGAAUAUUAUAUGUUUUGAUUAGCUUUUGGAAAACAUGAUAUAUUUUUUGAUGGUUUUAAAAAAUGAAAAUUUUACUUGAUGUUUUGGGACGUUACAUGUUGCCUUUCCUGUUGUGAAACUUCAUUUUUCCUUUUAAAACUUCAGAAGUAGUUGUUGUGAAACUUAAGAAAUGAUUUUGGAGAGACUUCAUGCUUUCUUUUGUUUACUUUUGUGUCUUCCUUGUGGCUUUUUUUAAAAUCUUGCUUUUUCUUUCCCCUUUUUNUGGCUUGAAUGAAACUCAUGCUUCAUCUUCCACUUUUCAAUUGAUGUUUAUUGGAGAUGAACUUUGGAGCUUUGUUGACAUCAAAUUUUCUACCUUUAAUUUUGAGCUUUAAACUUCUCCAAUGUCUCAUUUUGAGUGUAUUCUUAGAAUUGUUUUGAAAUUGAAAACGAAACAAGAUCUAACUUAGGUGAUUAAAAGAUAAAAGUUGUUAGAAUCAACAUCCUGGAUUGAACUCGAUUAGAUAAUAGAUCUGCUAGUGUUGUUACGAACAUGGUGAAGUGGCUUUACUCUUGUUCGGAGAAGAUGAAAUACAAUAGUGUAAUAUAUAUGGAAAUUCAAGAAAGGGACCAUUUAUUAUCAUUUUGAUAUUUGUUCUAUAUGAGAACUAAGUAUCAAUGUAUAAAUAUUGUAAAACCUGUAAGAAAAUUAAUAAAGCCUAUGCCCACAUAAAUGAAAACCACUUGUCACCAGUAGCGAGCUAGAACGUAAUACCACAUGGGUCACUAUUUAAAUAAAACCAAUAAAAAAUAAAAAAAACAAAAAAUAGUAGUUGUGGGUUCGAAUCGAGUCGAAUUGUAUAAGGGGGAAAAAUUAAGUUCUUACAAUUAUACCUAACGAGUAAUAAGUAUUAACAAAAGCUAAAUAGAUUUGAUGCUCAUGGAAUACAUAUUAACAAUGAAUAAUAAUUAAAAAAAACAAAAGUUAAAUAGAUUUGAUGCUCAUGGAAUAAAUAUUAACAAUGAAUAAUAAUUAAAAAAAACAACUGUGAUUGUAAUUAAACCUACAACUAAAUUAUCAAUUAUCAAUUCACAUGAUAGUUUUCCUGGUGGACUUUUUGAUGCUCAUGGAUAGAAUUUCAACAUAGUUUAUUUAACUUUCAUGUAGUUAACAAAGUAAAAUAUUUAUGGGUGAUGACAAAUUGGUUUGGUGGUUAUGAAGAUAGAAGGUUGAAGGGCUAUGAAUAUUGAAUUAUGCCUAAAAAAUAUUAGCCUAUUAUAAAUUAUAAACUUUAAAAAUAUGAUUUAUAUAUUUUUUUUAUCAUUAAGGUGGUUCAUUUAAUUUUAUUUUAAGGAGGUCACAAUUUUAAACUUUAUACAACUUGUUAUUAAAAAAAAGGUGGGUCAAGUGACCCACCAUAGUAACACUUAGCCUCGCCACAACUUGUCACUAUCAACGAGGCUCGAGUAAUCUCAUUUUUGAUUUCUUGUACUGUUGAAAUUGUCUAACACGUGUCCAUAGUUAAAUCUUUGUUUUAAAAAUAAUCUUAAAAUGAAUAGUUUCCAACAUAUCAAGAAAAUAAUUUUCACCUAAAUGUGAAAACAUUGUAGCACAUAGCCAAAAUUUAACCUUACUACCUGAAAUAUAUUACUAACCCUAAAGAAAAGUAUAAUAAUGAUCCGUUUGUUAAUGGUCACCAAGCUAAAAAUAUUAGUUAUGUACUUGAGCAAAAGGAAGAACCUCACCAUUUGGUAUUUUAGAAAACCAUUAGUAGAGUACUAAGCAAAUACAAUUUUUUUUUUUUUUGUAAAAACCUUGCAUUCAUCUAACAAAAGUAGAAAUAAGUAUUUGUUGUGUUUUUUUUUAUUUAUUUUUUUUGUCUAUUUUUUACUAUUUAAAGUAGGCAAAAGACUUAAACCUAAAAACAAGCAAUUUUUUUUUUGAAAUUUUCUAGUACUAAAAAAUGAAAAAAAAAAUAUUGUUUGAGUUUUUAAGUGAUUGUCUAAUUUUUUUUAAAGAAAAAAAAAUAAAAAUAAACAUUCAAUGUGUAAAUAAUUUGGAUUAAGCAUGUCGAUACGUCCUACGAAGUGUAAGAACCUAGACAAACUCUCUAUUUGGUAGGUUUAGUGUUUGAAUCUUAGGUGUUUCAGUUAGGAGUUAGUCACGAAAAAGUAUACGACGUACUGCGGUGUUUCAGUCCGGUUUCAGUCCGGGAUACAUUAUGUUAAGGUUCUCAAUGGUUUCCCAAAUCCCACUGCUGAUCUUAAUUUACUACAACGGCCGCAUGCUAGUUCCCUCUUUGCAAAUUGGAAUAGAUUCUAGUUAUUUAAAAACCAUUUUAUCCAUUUGUCAAUAUCUCGAACUUUGUACUCGAUUUUUGUAUGGAUACAAAUGUAUCACCAAUUAACUCUCUGAAAAUUGAGUAAUGAAGAAUGAUGAAUCUAACACAUUUUAACCAACACUAACCAAUACAAAAUAAUAUAUGUUGACAAACACAUGUUAAGAAAAUUAAGAACCAUUAAUUUAUUUUAUUGAAAAUGAUGUGAAUGCAUAAUUUUGUAGCAUAUGAAUUUGCAUUCCAAAGAAAACUCAAAAUGAUGUUUCAUUAUGCUCUCUCAAGUUAACAAAUCAGUAUCUAGCAACUAAUUUGGAGGAUACUUAAGAGUAAGCCGGGGACUGUAGCUAGCGGUCAGGGUGCGGGAGUGUCAGUCCCGUAUAUAUCUAUACACACAAUGCCCGCUCUCCCUCCAGGAGACUCUGGUUACCAACUUGACGACGGGGAGAUCUGUGUCUUGAAGAUGCAUCUCGUAUUUUGAAUUCUAUUGUAAGUACUGGAAUAACGAUAUAGACUCGCGAAUGAACUGACUCCUUUGGAAUUCUCUGGACUAGAAAGAGUGAUUAGAAUCUCCUAACUAUUCCUAUAAUAGUUACUAGUGUCUCUGAUCUAUAAAUGAUGAAUGGAAGGAUGCCCUUGCUUCCCAAGGGAAAUGAACUGGUCGAUGGAAACCUUUAUGUCCAUAUAUGUAUACAUGAUAUAUAACUAAUGUUUAAACGACCUUCGGACGGAUAGCCGAUACCCACCAGACCACAUCCCAACGAGGUAAAGGAAAUAUGGCGAACUAGCCUUCCUAAGUCCUUUAAACAUUAUUUAUAUAACUAUACAAAUAUAGGCAUGC